AUGGACCGGCGGGGGCGGCCCGUACGGGCUAGCCAAGUAAAGGCGGAUGCCCUGGACCGCGACGACCAGGUCGUUGAGCACGCCAGCCAUGGCCUCCGGUGUAAACUGCUGCGGCACGGGGGGAGGCGACGACGACGAGUGUGGGACGGGGGUGGCGGCUGGCCCUGGCCCGGCGCUGUGCCGGGUGCGGGGGAGAUCGGCGCCGACAGCAAGGCCGUGGCGCCCGGCGAUGAAGCGGCGGUGUUGGUGGAGUUGGUGGCAGCGGCGGUGGGGGAGUUGGCGGGCAGCGGCGGCGGUGGUGGUGGCGGCGGAUUUGGGGGCGGCGAGGACAUGGUUGAAACCCGGGUACCUAAUACCAAAUUGGUAGGACUACGGUUCCUACCGGCUCUACUCCUUAGGUUAUAA
rnacentral:rRNA from 1 species